CCGUGGAUCGUAAAAAGAUAUUUUUGGAAACAAAGAAGAGCCAUCACUUCACAUCCCAUGAGAGGUCCCAAAACCCACCUUCCCUAUGGAUUUCUACUUCCCAUGAAAUAUGGGAAGUGCCUUCCCAUGGAAAGAGAUUUUUCCAUUCUCUCUCUUUUUAAAACUUCAACCAAACAAGAGAGGCUUCCUCUCUAUUUUUCAGAAAUUAUCUCUUUCCUCCUCUGCUUCUCGUGAACCAAACGAGUCUCUAAUGAUAUAAUAAAGUCUAGUCAUGGCUCUUAGCUUGCUCCAUAACUUCUUUCUUCUCUCAAUAAAUUGGUCGACCUAGCAUCCCGUUACAUCAAAAAAGAAGAAGAAGAAAAAAAACCACCCAAAGGUCUGGACAUAGAUUUAACAUCUUUGGAAUAUCAUGUUUAUCCCUUGGGAAAGAGUCAUCGUUUCUUAGUAGGAGACCGCAAGUCUACCAAAAGCAGGUUCUUUGUGGACAGAUUCCCCUUGAUGCAUUAGUUCCACCUCUAACCUUUAAAAAAAAAAAAAUUCAUACCACUAUUUUAUUAUUUAUGAUUAUAUCUAGAUCUUGUUAUAAUCUUUUUGGGCUUACAUUGUUUGAGAUUUUUUAUUUCAUAAAACGGGUUGAGCAUGUAGCCCAAUUAAUUGUCCUGUGAGCCCAAGUGAUCCAAUGUUGUGGUUGGGCUUGUAAGAUGUGGUAUAAAAAUGUAGGGCCUAUAUUGUUGGAUACCCAUUAUGGAUGGGUUCGUUAAAUUAUUAUAUAUAAGCUGGGUCCCCUCUCCUCUCAAGACACGAGACAAUUGCUUGCCCCAUCAAUAGCCGUCCAAUAUAGACGAGAAGGAAAAGAAACCCUAGAUCUAAGAUGUGUGCGCGUGUGCAUGUUGUUGUCAACUUGCAGGUAAAUCACAGUGAAAGCUAAUCAACUAUGGAUUCAAGAGGUAUGUUUAAACUCUUUAUUAUUAAUUGUCGAUGUUCUAGAUUUAGUAUGGCUUUAAUUUAAUUGCUUACAAAUGGUAUCAGAGCCAUACCAUACUGGAUCUAGAACCCUAUGUUUUGUUGUUUAAACAAUUAAUAGUUUAAGGGUUGGCAAAACAAUUUUUUCCAUGUAACUGAAUAAUUUUUGUAAGUUUCCUCGCUUAGUUUACUUUUUGAAAUUUUUUGAACCUGAGGCAUGGACCUUUUUUUUUUCUCUUUUGGUUGAUGUUUGCUUGUUUUCGUCAUUUAUGGGACCUGUUAUCGUGCAUGAAUUGCAUGUGGUAUUGCUUUUUGGGUUGAGCCACCAUGGAAGGGUUCAAAGUUUUUUGGAAGUCCCUGCGCAUGUUACUCGAUAUUAUUCCACUGCUUGAGAUACAC
rnacentral:lncRNA from 1 species